rnacentral:lncRNA from 1 species
UUUUGGGGCUUGUAAAAAAUAAUUAAGGGAAUUCCUGUGGAGGUGCUGACAUACGGCCUCCCAAAUGAGAUCUCUCCCUAACUCUGUGCAGCCCUGAUGACGGGCACUGUAAUUAUGCGCCUACAGGACUGCCUCGGAGCUCUCCCUCCUGCUGAGCUCCUCAAGCAGCGCACAGCCUUCUCAGGUUCUGGGUUUGGUACAGGGCCUGGCAAAUACUCCCUGUAGGAAUGAAUGAGCGAGAGAGCUGGGUGAUCAGAUUGCAUCCUUAAGAAGCUAGGGUAGGUGGAGGGCAGUGGGGGCACAGAAGAGAGGCGAGAACAUGUGUGAAGACUCGGCCUUGAGUCAAGCUCCAGUGCAGCUACUCCCUUUUACCUCAAGAACACUCUAUAACCCAAGUUUUUCGCAAGAUGUGGACUUCUCUC